GAGUAUGUGGUAAAUUUUAGGGAUCAUGCUGUUAAAAUCAAAAGAUGUUUCUUUAUCAAGGUAUAACAGCUAGUUUGAUGUAUGCAUUUGUCUCUCUAUACAAUAAGAAGGUAAAAACAUCACUGUUUUACAACGUUUUCUUUUGUUCCUUUGAGGCUUUAACCAGGAUUCAAGGGCCAUACAUUGCUUGCACGCAAGUCCUAAGAAUAUUAAUUAAGAUGUUAACCUUUUUCUUAAUCAUAUAGUACUAUAUAUCAAUGACCAUUUUAGUCUUAGAAUAUGAAUUAUGGAUGAUGAUCAAACACAGUAUUUAAUUGAUUACUUCAAUUCAGUUUUAUGUUGAAGAACAUAAAAAUAAAUUAACAUGAAUUAAUUAAAAAUGUUGUGUUGACUUUGAUAUUCAGCACCGCUAGCUAUUGUGAAAUUGAAAGAUUCACAUAACCUUUCACAUCAAGUGACUAGAAGAAAUAGUGUUAAGGUUUAGUUAAUAUAACUUUUGAUUCUUUAUACCGUCCCUGUCUUUGUCUCUCCAUAAUUCCUGCUAUAGAAUAUUCACAAUGCUCCUUCUAUAAAUCAAGUUUUCUAUAUGUUCUCUUAACUAGUUCUCAUUUUUAUUUUAAACGACCAAUGUUAGUGGUUAGUAAUUAGUAUUGUUAGUUUUUGUUGUAGGUUUUAACUAGCUGUAAUCUUAUUGUAGUCAUUGUUAAACAUCAUCUCUAGUAGUUCGGAUUUGAACUAUGUUUGGCAAAACUGUGGGAGAUUAGUGCUUCACUAGACUCGACUCAUGUUAGUCUAUUGUAACUUGACUAAUUUAUUAUAUUAUUAUCCCACAUGUAAGCGAACUAAGUGUCACAUAAUAGGGACUAAUUUGCCUGUUUUUUUAAAUCAACCGAAUUAUUCUUGUUCGCUCGAAAGAGUCUAAUGACAAAUUUCAGACACCGAAAAAUGAAAUUACUAUAGUAACCGAAAUGACCCCUCAUGUAUUCAUGACUCAAAAGUCUCCCAUGGAAUGCAAGGAUAGCUUGAUAUAUUUUGGAAGUUUGGAACAAAUGAAAAGCCAUUUGAUCAUUUUUCAUUUUCUUGUCUUUAAUCAAGUCUCUGUUAUUAGUCAAAUUGCCAUAUGGGUUCCUGCAUAUAUACUGUAUUUUUGUUGUCUCUUGCAGCAGUUUACAUGCUACUUACUACUACGCCUAAAAGGAGCAUUAUUGAUGAUUUAUUAGGCGUGUAGUUAAUUCCAGUUAUACGCAGCUAUACCCAUUAAAGCAUUAAGCUUUGCCUGUGAAUCUGAGACUUGUGUCAGAGGGGCGACAAAGAUUCAUAUGUCACUAGUUUUCUUCCAUGUGUCAUUCUCGAAUAUAGUACUAUAUAUGUGAAGUUCACUCACUCACUCACUCUGUUGUCCUUUUUCUUUUUAAGUACUGGGAGCAUUUAUAAUCAUCAUUCUUAAUGUUCACAUAACUUUCAAGUUUCCAUGCCUAACUUCUGUUUGAUUCCGUGGCACCAUUUCCAUAUUUUUUCAAAAUUAUGGUCACAUUUCCGCAUUAAUGUAGAAGCUGCAUUUUAUAACUUCUUGAAAUCACAGCAACUUUACAUUGAUAUCUCCACAGGUGCGCGUCUCGUGCAAGCAAAUGUGCCACUAAAGGAUGAUGUUUUAAUCAAAAUCCAGCCUAGCUUCGCCUCCAAUUCUAGGUAAACAAUUUUUGCUCAACAUAUCAUCUUUUGAUAGUAACACCAGUUAAGUCAUAUUUUACGAGUAGAAAUUCAUUACCAGUAUAAUUUUGGUAUAUAAUAACUAGAAAUGUUACAAAACUUAGAAAUGUGUGCUUCUGAGAAAUACUUGAUCCAUAUUUCACAACUUGGUAACUGUUUCUACUGAUAGCUCACUAAAAUUAACAGUUGUAAUGUAAAUAAUCUGUAUUGUUGAUGUAUAAAUGUCCACAAAUCAUCGUUGUAAGCUUGGAUUGGAAAUUUGGAACCGCUCAAUCUACUCUCAAACUGUAGUUAGUUUGGCUUUAGAUAGAAAACAAAUAUACUUUAAACGAGAAUUGGGUUAUAAAAUUUAUCUUACUUAUGAUUUAUGAUUGGAUGGUCGCUCUUCGUCCCCCUGAAUUGCUCCCACUAGAAAACACAUUACCGGAAUAUAUCUCCCGGUAGAUGGGAUAAACAUGGGGGAAUUAUGAUCAAUUUAGGAGACGAAGAGCAAUCAUCUAACAGCAAAAACACUCGAUAGAACUUUCUAACAGCAAAAACAAAAGAAACCAAUUUCAUCAUAAACCACAUAAAACACUUCCACAUAAUUCCUAAAUUAUUGUCCACAUAACAUAAAACACUUUCACAUCCCAGUAAUUGCUUGCAGUAUAAGGCAAAUGUAUAUGAAUGUGAAGUUGUAAUAAGAUUUAUUUUUUAUUUCCAUUAUUUCCCAAACAAAACAAUACAAGUGUACAUUAACAACAUGAAAAACAAAACUCAGAAAUAUAAUUUACCAAAAUCAAAAUCACUUGUCUUUAACUUCAACACCAGUUUUACCAGCAAUGAUAACAGAGGUAGCCAUAUUCAAGAACAAACCAUGCUCAACAACUCCUUCCAACGCCGAAAUCUCCGUUCCAGCAGCAUUAGCAUCUCGAAUCGGAGUCUUAAAAUACAAAUCAACAAUGUAAUUAGAAUUAUCAGUAACAUAGGGUUUUCCACUUUCAUCCAAUCUCAAUUUUGCAUCAACACCUUCUUCAUUGAACAAUUCUUGAAGCCUAAUCAAAUUAUAUUUCCAACAAAACUGAACAACCUCCACCGGCAUAGCCAAACCGCUUCCACCUAAACCGGUAACCAAUUUCGUGUCAUCGACGACCACGACGAACUUAUCGGAAGCAGCUUCCACCAUUUUCUCCCUUAAAAGAGCUCCGCCGCGACCUUUAACGAGAUUAAGAUAAGGAUCGACUUCAUCGGCGCCGUCGAUUGCGAGAUCGAGACGAGGAUUAUCGUCGAGAACAGAGAGAGGGAUUCCGAGUGAACGAGCUUGUUCUUCGGUUCGUUUUGAAGUUGGAACUCCGAUGAUGUUGGUGAGUUCGCCGGAGGAGAGAAGUUCGCCGAGUUUGGAAACAACGAAAGCGGCGGUGGAGCCGGUGCCGAGACCGAGGACCAUACCGGAUUUGACAUACUCGACGGCUUUAUCGGCGGCGAGUUUUUUGAGGUCGUCUUGAGUGAGGGUUAUGGCUCUGAUGGAAAGAGAAGAGUGACGGGUGCGUAGUUUAAGAGAGGUUGGGGUGCGUAGGUUAAGACGUGUGGAUGCAUUGUAGAAUGAUGAGGAUAGAGAUGGUGGUGAUGAUAGGGAUAGAGAUGCCAUUUUUUGAUUUGUUUUGUUGAUUUUUGAAUGUAAAGUGUGAUUUUGAAUUUGAACUAACACAAGACAGUUUUUGAGUUGGUAUAAGCCUAUCUUGUUUGUGUGUUUGGUUGGUGCUCACACUCAACAGUUUAGAUUUGAUCCAACCACACCGCAGGUUUUUUUUUGUACUACUUUUUAGUUAUGGUUCACUCCGGAGUUUUUUUAUAAGAGAUGAUUCAUCUUUUAAAUUCAUCGAAUACAUAUAGUAUAUAAUAUAAAUCAAUAUAUUCAAUGAAUUUAUAAUGAUGAUUUGUAUUUGCCUUUUAUCGAAGUAAUAUUAUUAUUUUUUAAAUGUAGGGGUUGAUAUCUCGCAACAAAUAUUUUUUAAUAGGGAUUGAUAGGAAAUGACUCAGGAAGGAAUAUUAUUUUUAGUUUCAUUGGAUUUUGGCGUUUUCCAACAACCCCCAACUUCUAAAGGAAGCUGAUUCACAGUUCAUUCACCCUCCCUUCUCAUGGAUGGAUGUGGAUUCAUUCACCUAAUUAUUUUAGACCUUUUUCUUCUUUUUUUGUUUAAAUUAAUUCUUAAAUAGGAAGUUGAAUUUAAUUAAAAAAAGUUGUAGUUAGUAAAUACCUUUUUUUUUGGAAUAAAAGUU
rnacentral:lncRNA from 1 species